UACGUAGGGGGCAAGCGUUAUCCGGAUUUACUGGGUGUAAAGGGAGCGUAGACGGAAGGCCAAGUCUGAUGUGAAAGCCCGCGGCUCAACUGCGGGACUGCAUUGGAAACUGGUCAUCUGGAGUGCAGGAGGGGUAAGCGGAAUUCCUAGUGUAGCGGUGAAAUGCGUAGAUAUUAGGAGGAACACCGGUGGCGAAGGCGGCUUACUGGACUGAAACUGACGUUGAGGCUCGAAAGCGUGGGGAGCAAACAGGAUUAGAUACCCUGGUAGUCCACGCUGUAAACGAUGAAUACUAGGUGUCGUGUUUCUAUAGAGAUUCGGUGCCGCAGCAAACGCAAUAAGUAUUCCACCUGGGGAGUACGUUCGCAAGAAGGAAACUCAAAUGAAUUGACGGGG
rnacentral:rRNA from 1 species